AAAGCAGGGAUUGUGUGUAUCGGCGUUGUGCUACAAUAAGUGCACUAUGUUUCCGAAAGAGUUCCCUGCAACAUUGAUCGGGGGAAGGUGGGCAGUUGUGUUUCAUCUUAACCAUUGAUAUUAUCAACAAUCAUCUUCCCCACAUUG